rnacentral:rRNA from 1 species
UACGUAGGGGGCUAGCGUUGUCCGGAAUCAUUGGGCGUAAAGCGCGUGUAGGCGGUCCGGUAAGUCCGCUGUGAAACUCGAGGCUCAACCUCGAGAUGUCGGCGGAAACCGUCUGGCUAGAGUCCGGAAGAGGAGAGUGGAAUUCCUGGUGUAGCGGUGAAAUGCGCAGAUAUCAGGAAGAACACCUAUGGCGAAGGCAGCUCUCUGGGACGGUACUGACGCUGAGACGCGAAAGCGUGGGGAGCGAACAGG